CCCUGUGGAACCCUAAACGGCCGCGGCAUAAAACCGUGCAAAGGUAGCACAAUCACUUGUCCCUUAAAUGAGGACCCGUAUGAAAGGCAACAUGAGAGAGAACCUGUCUCCUAAGGUUAAGCCAAUGAAAUUGAUCUAUCAGUACAAAAGCUGACAUAACAAAGCAAGACAAAAAGACCCUAUGGAACUUUAACAAAUUACUUACACAAAAUAAGCAAUAGUUUCAGUUGGGACAACUUUAGAAAAAAUAAACCUCUAAGAUUAGCCUAGACUAACAAGUCUAAACCACACCACAUGACCCAGUAAUACUGAUUAACGAAACAAGCUACCCUAGGGAUAACAGCGCUACCUUCUCAAAGAGUCCAUAUCAACAAGAAGAUCUACGACCUCGAUGUUGGAUCAGGGUACCCAGACGGUGCAGCAGCUGUCAAU
rnacentral:rRNA from 1 species